rnacentral:rRNA from 1 species
UACAGAGGGUGCAAGCGUUGUUCGGAAUUACUGGGCGUAAAGCGCGUGUAGGCUGCAAUGUAAGUCGGAUGUGAAAGCCCUCAGCUUAACUGAGGAAGUGCAUCUGAUACUGCAUCGCUUGAGUGUCGGAGGGGAUGGCGGAAUUCCCGGUGUAGAGGUGAAAUUCGUAGAUAUCGGGAGGAACACCUGUGGCGAAGGCGGCCAUCUGGACGACGACUGACGCUGAGACGCGAAAGCGUGGGGAGCGAACAGG